CUGGGCCCUAAUUUCCAGUCGCUAUUUGCCAUUGUCGCGACUGUUCCAUCAACGUCUCCAUUUUCAGCGCCGCUUGUUUGCGAUUGCAGCCUGCUCUAAUACAGUAACUUUAGGGCAAGAUGAGAUAUCCGAUUCAGUGUCCAUCCAUCAAUCCACUCAGGGUAGACAUUGAUUUCACUCUUGUCCGAGGAUUGGAUCAUAACAUGUUGCUUGUUCAUGGGGUAUCUCUCAGAUGUGUACGUACACGGAAACACUAUGCGACGUGGCGUACUAUUCCAUGCAUCUUAUGCCAUGAACACAAGAACUAACCUGGAAGUAAUCUACCAUCCUAGGAUGUGUGCUUCUGCUUUUAUAGUUCCCUAUGAUAAGGUCAUGGAAGCACUUAACGUUAAUUAUUCUCCCGGAAUGUGUUUUGAAAUGCUUGUUGAUGAAGGAGAAGACCCUGAACAUAUACGGAAUAAGUUGUUACUUCUUGCUUUUAGAUUUGAGUAGAGAUGGCAAUAGCGUGGAUGGUGCCAUAGUCACUGAUUAAAGCUUUGAGACUAUGUUUUCUCAAAAUUAAAGUUUAUUCUAUUGAGAUUUUGCUUUCUUACCUAUACGAAAGGUACUAUUAAAGUUUUGAGAUUUUGCUUUCUUACCUAUACGAAAGGUAUGUCUGGAAAGCAGAAUCAAAAUGCAAGCAAAAGGAAGAGAUCCAAGACUAUUACGAAGAUGAUGAUACACCAUCCUGGUCGAUCCCAGAAAUUCCUUUAUUAAUCAUGAUGCGGCUGGGAGUUGUCGACUUUCUUGCAUUCAGUGGUGUGUGCAAGUUGUAGCGGACAGGUGCCCCAUCAAAUAGGAAAAAAGUUCAUGUUGUCUAGACAACCGAUGGCCAUACGCAUCUCCACUCGAGUGGCUAAAAGAAAAGAGUGCUGGUUAGAGGACUGUGACGGAAGAAUGUUCCGGACCAUCCUUCCCUGUUCUAACGGAAGAAUAUCCUUCCCGGUUCACGUGGUUGCUGAACUAAAUGCCUUUCAGGGUACCCUUGUCUUUUCACAAACAGCGGAUAGUGGGUGUUUGUGAUCUCAUCCUGACACUCUAGGACAAUAUGGUUCUCGUUUAGUGGUAAACGAGCGAGCUGGACUCAUCUGUCAUCCAAUGUCCCAAUCAGUGAUUUCACAUGUUUUAAAGGAAAGAUAUAUACCCUGAACAAAGACAUCGGUUUAUGUGAAGUGAGACUCGAUCCUAACCCCGCCCUGACACGGCUAAAAAUGAAGAAUUUGUUGACGUCACAUGUCUUGCUUCCAGAAUUUGGAAUUUUGGGUGAAAAGCUAUUCAUGACGGGUUACCGGCCAUUCGAUCCAUUCCCUGUUGAAGUUGACGUUGCCGAAAUGAGAUGGGUGAUAAAAAAACCAGAAUUCUGCGGGGAUCAUCACAUGCUAUGCGGGUGGGUUAGUUACGUAAAUCGCAGGGGUAAAGGUAGAAAAACGCGCGUGAUAGACAUGCCGUACUUCCCUCAUGAAUGUUGUUGGGAUGCUAAUAUCCUACAUGAGUGAUUGUUCUCUCUGUUUUUUGUCGAGUUUUGCAUGUCUUCCAACUUUUUCAAUCCAUACCUAUUUCUAAGAUAUUUGAGAACCACCAUAGAUGGAUUUGUAUCUUUGUAUUUUUGGUUUGAACAGUCAUGUCUCGCAUUAUUUGUUUUAGGUGUGCAAAACUGUUACGUUUACUC